ACAAUGAUACUUCUGUAACUCGCAGCUCGGUCAUAAUGAAGACGGAGAGGUGAAAUUCCUAUG
rnacentral:ncRNA from 1 species